rnacentral:rRNA from 1 species
ACAGAGGGUGCAAACGUUGUUCGGAAUUACUGGGCGUAAAGCGCGUGUAGGCGGCAAGGCAAGUCGGAUGUGAAAGCCCGCGGCUCAACCGUGGAAGUGCACUCGAAACUGCCUAGCUAGAGUCUCGGAGAGGAAGGUGGAAUGCUUGGUGUAGAGGUGAAAUUCGUAGAUAUCAAGCAGAACACCUGUGGCGAAGGCGGCCUUCUGGACGAUGACUGACGCUGAGACGCGAAAGCGUGGGGAGCAAACAGGA